rnacentral:rRNA from 1 species
ACAGCAGCAGCCGCGGGAAUACGUAGGUCCCGAGCGUUGUCCGGAUUUAUUGGGCGUAAAGCGAGCGCAGGCGGUUAGAUAAGUCUGAAGUUAAAGGCUGUGGCUUAACCAUAGUACGCUUUGGAAACUGUUUAACUUGAGUGCAAGAGGGGAGAGUGGAAUUCCAUGUGUAGCGGUGAAAUGCGUAGAUAUAUGGAGGAACACCGGUGGCGAAAGCGGCUCUCUGGCUUGUAACUGACGCUGAGGCUCGAAAGCGUGGGGAGCAAACAGGAUUAGAUACCCGGGUAGUCCCUGUCUCUUAUACA